rnacentral:lncRNA from 1 species
CCGCCUUCUAUUAUACUUCUAUAGCUUUUCCAGGUUAAAAAAGUUUGAUUCAUUAAUCCAUAAUGCUCAAGGCUUCUUAAAAAAAUUUAUAGUUGGAGUUUCAGCUAAUAAGGAGUCUGUUGCAACUAGAAUUAAUGUUAAAACUAGUGAACAUUUCCCACCACCUCCCAGCAAUUUUUGUUUUUUCCGCCAUGGCUCCAAUUUUAAAUCAUCUCUCUCUCAUUGUCCCUGUAGUGCAUCUGAAUUUGUAAAAUCCCGUAUUCCCCCUUCUUGUUUGGGAAAAUGCUAUAUAGUUACUAAAGCUGAGAGCUCUUGCCUGCAAAUAACAGAAACCCCAAGUCAAACAGAUUUUUUUUUUUUUUUGUCUUUUUAGGGCUGCACCGAUGGCAUAUGAAGGUCCCCAGGCUAAGGGUCUAAUCGGAAACUGCAGCUGCUGGCCUAUGCCACAGCCACAGCAACGUUGGAUCCAAACUGCAUCUGCAAACUGCACCACAGUUCACAGCAGUGUGGGAUCCUUAACCUACUGAGCAAGGCCAAGGAUCAAACCUGCAUCCUCAUGGAUGGUAGUUGAUUCGUUUCUGCUGAGCCAUGACAGAAACUCCCAAAUAGAUUUUAACAUGAAGAAAAAGUAAUGGCUCAUGCAAUUGAAACAUUCGGAUGUAGGUUUCAGGUAGGGUUUGAUCUUGCUUCAUUUCUUUGAGACUAUCUUGGCUCUGAAGUCUUCAGAAAUCUCAAUCAUCAUGCUAGAUUUUCCUCAUGAGAACUGUGGUAGAUGCUAAUCGAUUCUGGGAGAAUAUUCAGCUCAAUCCAUGAUAGCCCAGCUAUGGCUACUUUUCCAAGACUCCUUGCAGCUGGGUGUGAACACAUGACCAGAUAUGGACAAUAGGAUGUGAGCAUCUUGAACUGUGCCUUAACCACAAUGUGGGAAAGAAACACUCAUAUUUUGUUUAAACCACUAUUGUUUAGAGCAGACAUCUAGGACCCCUGGGGUCCCUGAGACCAUUUUAUUGGAUCCCUGGCAUUUGUGAUAACACUGUUGUAGGCUGAAUAAUGAUCCCCUAGACAUGUCAACAUUCUAAUUCCUAGAACUGGAAUUCCCUGGAUGCUCAGUGGGUUCAAAAUCCAGCAUGAUUACUACUGUGGUGCUGGUUUGAUCCCUGGCUCAGGAACUUCCACAUGCUGCAGGUGUGGCAAAAAAAGAAAAGGACUUUUCAAAUGUGAUUAGGUUAAGGAAUUGAGAUGAGAAGAUUACUUUGGAUUAUCCAGGUGAGACUGAUAUAAUCACUGAGGAAACAAGAGAGCAGCGUUCGGUCCCUCCGAGGAGAAGCUGUGAGGACACAACCUUUCUGGCUUUGAAGAUGGGAGGAGGGAGUUACAAGCCCCCAUGCCAAGGAAUGUGGACAACCUCUAGCGGCUGGCAAGGCAAGGAAAUGGGUCCCCUCUAGAGCCUCAAGAAGGAGCCAUCUCUGAUGACACCAGGUCUUUAGCCCAGUGAAACUGAUGUUGGACUUCCGACCUCAGACAUAAGGUACAGUUUGUACUGUUUUAAGUAGCUAAGUUUAUGUUGAUUUGCUACAAAAACAACUGGAAACCAAUACAAAUACAUUAUCAUUGUUUGCUUUUAUCCCAAGCAUACAGUGGAGUUUUCUGGAGAUCAGAUGAUGUGUUAUCAGGGCAGAUCGAAUACAUCAGCCAACAGAAUCCAGCUGUCUUUUAUGAAGCUGAAUACUAAAGAGGUUCCCAAAAUAUGAAAACAAUGCCACUCUUCUUACUAAUUUUUUUGUUUUGUUUUGGAAAAUUUAGGGUUUUUUUUUUUCCUUCUUUUUUUUAGGACCACACGUGUGGCAUAUGGAAGUUCCAGGGCUAGGGAGUCAAACCAGCUGCAGCUGCUGGCCUGCACCAUAGCCAUGGCAACACAGGAUCCUUAACCCACUGAGUGAGGCCAGAGAUCAAACCCACAUCCUCAUAGAUCCUAGUUAGGUUCGUUACUGCUGAGCCGCCAUGUGAACUCCCAGAAAAUUUGGGCUUUUUUUUUUUUUUUUUGUUAAAGCUAUGUUCUUUAUAUCAAUCUGGACAAAGUCUUUUUAUUGCCAUUUGAAAUGAGUUAAUAGUUUUCAGAUUCUCAGUUUUAAUUUCUGAUAUAGUAUAUAUUGAUAAUUAUAACCCACAUAAAUAAAAGCUCUUUGUGGCCCUCCAUCAUUUUUUAUAAGAGUGCAAAAUGGUCCUUAAGCCAUGAAAUUUUGAGAACCACCAAGGCAUCCUAAGAAAUCUAGUAUCAAAAUUGGCUGCUGCCAUUUUAAGUCGCAAGCUUAGUCCCCAUACUAUACAAAGGAAAGAGAGAGCUUUUCCCCAAAAACAUUACAUAGAAGCCCCAGCUUUUAUUCUGAUUGAACCACUUUAGGAUCUUUGCCUCCUCUUGGACCAAUCAUGCUGACAAGGGGCCGGAUUACCCUGCAGUAAUCAAAACCCAGGCCUGGAGCUGAACCUGGGCUCAGUCUCCCUUAACUUGAGUGGUUGCUACCCAGUGGGAGAAAGGACAAGCGGAUGCUGGGAAGUCAGCCAACAUCAUCCAUCAUGGUUCCCAUAGAGAAUAAUCAUGAUGAUGACAGCAAACAUGCAGCACAUCCUGCCAGGCUCAGCUCUAAGCCCUCAAUUCUCACAGCCACUCAGUGAGGAAGGUACUAUUAUUAUCACUUACUAUAACAUGUGAUAAACCCUCUGCCCCCACUUCAGCCCAGAAACACGCUUGAAGAGUAUGAACGUGUUUCGCUUUGUUGAGAUUUUGACUGAAGCUUUACCAUGAGCAUAUUCCAGCAAUAAAGUGUAAUGGUUUAGAAGACAGGCUAUGGGGUUGGACAAAUUUACUUACACUAAGCUCAGAUUUUGACUGAUAAAGAGAAUUUUUUUAACUUAUAACCUAUAUGAUAGCCUUGAUAAUAUCUCAUGCUAUUUGUUAGUGGGGGAAAUUCUAUUUUAGUCUAAUUAAAUAGUCUCUUUAGGUUACAUGUUCUGUGAGAUUUCUGGGCCCUUCCCCCAGGUAGUGCUAUGUGUUUUGGGGGACUGGGUGUGGAGGAGUGUGAUGGGGUGUCUGUGGUGGGGAAUGGUGAGAUCCUCAGAGCCACAGCCUGGACUGACCAUUGCCAGUGGUGACUGGGCCAGCCUCCGGAAAUUCCUCCAGGGUCUGCAGCUGAGGUUGGGCAGAGGUCUCUCUCUGCUUGGGUAGGGGUCCUUUCCACACCAGCACCUCAACUCUACCUUGGUCUUCUCUGGGUCUGAGGAUUCUUUGGGUACCAACAUUUGUGGCAAAUUCCUCAAUCAAGUCUCUAAACUCUUGUCCAUAAGAUACACCCCUCUCCUCCAGAUCAGAUAUCUCCCAUGAGAACUGAUGAGGCCAUCUCUCUGCCCCACCAGGCUGCCUUCUGAAUUGACCUCAACAUGGUGGCCUCCGUGUUGGUGCAGGGCCCUUCAUGGGCCGUUCCUGUCCAGAGUCCUCAGCAGAGAGCAGGGCAGAAACCCCUCAAGUUUAGACUUUGUUUUCACCUUCUCUACCCCUACUCCUCUCAAGGGCAUGGGCCCAGAGAGGGAAGACUGGGACACAGCUCUCUCCCUGCCUCUCUCACUCUGCCCUUCUCUCCACAGGCCAGUGAGAGGAGAGAGAUGCUUCUGUUUUAUGACACAUUUCUUCUGUAAAAGUCUAUGAUCAGGUCUUCCAGAUAUGGUUCUUGAUAAAGGAAGAGAGAAGAGAAUUUAGAAAAGUCCUUUUCGCUGUUGAAGAAGCCUGAUUUUCAAGCCUAUUGUCUUGCUAAGGAAUUGAAAGUCUGAUUUUGGAUGUUAGAAGCUGAAUAUUAACUCUUAUCUGUCCCUCUCUUAGGCUUUCCAGUUAUAACCAUCCAAAACUUACAUUCUCACCUGUUACAUUCCUGUCCCAGGAUUCCUUAGGUGCUCCAGGGGGAAGGUUGAAUACAUCAGAGAGAAAAGUAUACAACAUGAAAAUAGGUAUGUGGGGAAAAAAAGGGCACACUCAUUCACUUAAUAAGGUUCCCCCGUGACACGGACACAACUAGCUUAGAAUCCUGGCUCUGUUACCUAUAAGUUUUCUACCCAUGAGUAGGUUAGUCUCUCUAAGUUUUGGCUUCUUUAUUUAUUGUGCAGAGAAAAACAAUAGGUAUCUGGCUUACAGAUUUCUUCUGAGGGCAAAAUGAGGUGAUUUGCAUAAAGCACUUAGUAGAGUGCCUGCCACAUACGACAUGUUCAUAAUUGUCAUUAUACUAUUACUGCAUAUGUUUAGCACAUGCCUGUCAAUCCCAUUUGAAUACUCCCCCAAUAGACCCUUGCCCUGUGAACAUACAUGUUGAUGAUUCUCUAUAUAUUGUUCUUGAAUUUGCCAUUUAGUCUCUGCUCGGGCUUAUGUUGAACUAAACGGUUACUGUGGAAAAACAUUACUCAGUGACUUGUUAAGGCACUUUGCCAAGCACAUUGCUUCCUAACAGCUCCUUCCAGGUCUUACAGACUGCAAAAUAAGAUCUCUGCAUCUUCAGGGACAUCUUUAUCAGCUGGAGGUGGUCCUUCUUUUCUUUAAGCUGCGGAGAAGCUAGAUUGGAAAGAAAAGAAGGAAGGAGGAGUUCCCUUGUGGCAUAGCAGGUUAAGGACCCAGUGUAAUCACUGCAGUGGUUCAAGUCACUGCUAUGGCAUGGGUUCAGUACCUGCCCCAGG